rnacentral:rRNA from 1 species
AUUGAACGCUGGCGGCAUGCUUUACACAUGCGAGUCGAACGGCAGCGCGGGCUUCGGCCUGGCGGCGAGUGGCGAACGGGUGAGUAAUACAUCGGAACGUGCCCAGUAGUGGGGGAUAGCUCGGCGAAAGCCGGAUUAAUACCACAUACGACCUGAGGGUGAAAGCGGGGGAUCUUCGGACCUCGCGCUAUUGGAGCGGCCGAUGGCAGAUUAGCUAGUUGGUGGGGUAAAGGCCUACCAAGGCGACGAUCUGUAGCUGGUCUGAGAGGACGACCAGCCACACUGGGACUGAGACACGGCCCAGACUCCUACGGGAGGCAGCAGUGGGGAAUUUUGGACAAUGGGCGAAGGCCUGAUCCAGCAAUGCCGCGUGUGUGAUGAAGGCCUUCGGGUUGUAAAGCACUUUUGGCGGGAACGAAAAGGACUGUGCCAAUACCACGGUUCGAUGACGGUACCCGCAGAAUAAGCACCGGCUAACUACGUG